rnacentral:misc_RNA from 1 species
AACGGUCUAUACCUGCGGUACCUGCGUAAGGAUCAUUACAUGAUUUGAGGGGGCUCACGUCCCCUCAUCCAACCCACAAACCCCGAGGAACUUUUAUGUCGAGUGGUUCGGCGCUCUCUUUGAGAGCCGCCCCUCAAACGCAUCGCAGGCUUUUCGUGAAGGUCUGAUGUGUCACAUCGUGAGUAUUAAAACUUUCAGCAAUGGAUCUCU